AACUGAAUUGCAUUGACAAUCAACUUAUUAUAAAAGGUAUUGGGAAGUAGCAUCGGAUUCAUAACCCGAAGGUCGGCAGUUCAAGUCUGCUCUCCG
rnacentral:tRNA from 1 species